rnacentral:rRNA from 1 species
GAUGAACGCUGGCGGCGUGCUUAACACAUGCAAGUCGAACGGAAAGGCUCCUGCUUGCAGGGGUUCUCGAGUGGCGAACGGGUGAGUAACACGCGGGUGAUCUGCCCUGCACUUCGGGAUAAGCCUGGGAAACUGGGUCUCAUACCGGAUAGGACGAUGGUUUGGAUGCCAUUGUGGAAAGUUUUUUCGGUGUGGAUGAGCUCGCGGCCUAUCAGCUUGUUGGUGGGGUAAUGGCCUACCAAGGCGUCGACGGGUAGCCGGCCUGGGAGGGUGUACGGCCACAUUGGGACUGAGAUACGGCCCAGACGCCUACGGGAGGCAGCAGUGGGGAGUAUUGCACAAUGGGCGCGAGCCUGAUGCAGCGACGCCGCGUGGGGGAUGACGGCCUUCGGGUUGUAAACUCCUUUCGCUGGGGACGAAGCGCAAGUGACGGUACCUGGAGAAGAAGCACCGGCUAACUACGUG